rnacentral:rRNA from 1 species
UUCCUACGGGGCGCAGCAGUGGGGAAUAUUGGACAAUGGGGGGAACCCUGAUCCAGCGACGCCGCGUGAGUGAAGAAGUAUUUCGGUAUGUAAAGCUCUAUCAGCAGGGAAGAAAGAAAUGACGGUACCUGACUAAGAAGCCCCGGCUAACUACGUGCCAGCAGCCGCGGUAAUACGUAGGGGGCAAGCGUUAUCCGGAUUUACUGGGUUUAAAGGGUGCGCAGGCGGCGUGCCAAGUCAGCGGUAAAAUGUCGGGGCUCAACCCCGGCCGGCCGUUGAAACUGGCGUGCUCGAGUUG